UGGGGAAUAUUGCACAAUGGGCGCAAGCCUGAUGCAGCAACGCCGCGUGAACGAUGAAGGUCUUCGGAUCGUAAAGUUCUGUUGCAGGGGAAGAUAAUGACGGUACCCUGUGAGGAAGCCCCGGCUAACCACGUGCCAGCAGCCGCGGUAAUACGUAGGGGGCUAGCGUUAUCCGGAUUUACUGGGCGGAAAGGGGGCGUAGGUGGUCUUUCAAGUCGGUGGUUAAAGGCUACGGCUCAACCGUAGUUAGCCUCCGAAACUGGAAGACUUGAGUGCAAGAGAGGAAAGUGGAAUUCCCGGUGUAGGGGUGAAAUGCGUAGAUAUUGGGAGGAACACCAGUAGCGAAGGCGGCUUUCUGGACUGCAACUGACCCUGAGGCACGAAAGCGUGGGUAGCAAACAGG
rnacentral:rRNA from 1 species